GUGAAUUAAGUAAUUUUUUUUUUGAGGAAAGAAUUUUUUUAUGAAGUUUCUUAAUUUGUUUAUAUUAAUUUUAUAAAAUUUUAUUUAUUAUAGUUUUUGGUACUGUAAAGGUUAAUUAAAUUUACUAAUAGAAGUAGAAUAUUUUUUUGUACCUUUUGUAUCAGGGUUAAUUAAUUUAAUUUAUUUAUUUAUUUUUCUCGAAUAUUUGAGAUUUAAAUUAAUAUUAUCUUCUUUGUUUUAUAAAGGAUUUUUAAUAUUAAUAUGGUUUUGAUAUAAAAUUCGUUCAUUUAUAUAUCUGGUUUUCUUGGAUAUUAAUUUAAUUAAGGAUAAAUUUUAAUAAUUUAUUUUAUCUUAAUCUAUUUGGGAUAAGCUUAAUAGAUUAAAUAUAAUUUCUUACUAGUUUUUUUUUGUAGGCUUAUAAUCUGUCAUCAUUUUAAUUUCGUUUAAGAUUUAAAAUUAAUUUGGUUUUUAUUUAUUUUCUUACUUGAAUGAUUUUUUUAUUAAAAAGUUUUAUUUAAUAAUGAUUAAAUUAGUAAAAUGAAAAUUUUAAUUUUAUGAAUUUGGCAAAAUUAAAUUUUAUUUCUGCCUGUUUAUCAAAAACAUGUUCUUUAGGUGUAAAGUUUUAAAGGUCUAACCUGCUCUAUGAUGAAAAUUAAAUGGCCGCAGUAUUUUAACUGUGCUAAGGUAGCAUAAUAAUUAGUUUCUUAAUUGGAAUCUGGAAUGAAUGGUUGAACAGGAAAUAAUCUUUAUUAAGUUUUUAUUUAAAUUUAAUUUUUUAGUUAAAAAGCUUAAAUUUUUAACUGUGACGAUAAGACCCUAUAGAUCUUUAAAAUAUACAUUUAAAGAAGUUUUUUGAAGUUUUCUUUUUUUUUAUUUAUUAUUUUUUAAUUGGGGUGAUUAAAGAAUUUUUAAACUUUUUUUUUUUUUUUCAUUGAUUUAUGAUUAAUUUGAUCCUUAAUUUUGAUUUAAAGAUUAAGAUACCUUAGGGAUAACAGCGUAAUAUAUUUGGAGAGUUCAUAUUGAUAAAUAUGAUUGCGACCUCGAUGUUGGAUUAAGAUUAAUAAUUGGGGCAGAAAAUAAUUUGUUAGGUCUGUUCGACCUUUAAAAUCUUACAUGAUCUGAGUUCAAACCGGCGUGAGCCAGGUUGGUUUCUAUCUAGUUAAUUUUAGGUUUAAAUAGUACGAAAGGACUUUUAUUUCUAUAAAAUUUAUUU
rnacentral:rRNA from 1 species